rnacentral:rRNA from 1 species
CAAUAGCGUAUAUUAAAGUUGUUGCAGUUAAAAAGCUUGUAGUUGGAUUUCUGGUCGGAAGCUCCUGUCCUCUGAUGAGCGUACAAGUGCGUCCUACCAUCCUUCUGUUAACCUUUAAGGCUUUCGCGGCUUUCUAGGGGCUCAGAUAUUUUACCUUGAGAAAAUUAGAGUGUUUCAGGCAGGCUAGCGCCGGAAUACAUUAGCAUGGAAUAAUGGAAUAGGACUUUUGCCUCUUCUGUUGGUCAUGAGGCUCGAGUAAUGAUUAAUAGGGAUAGUUGGGGGCAUUAGUACUUAACUGUCAGAGGUGAAAUUCUCGGAUUUGUUAAAGACUAACUUAUGCGAAAGCAUUUGCCAAGGAUGUUUNCAUUAA